GACGAACGCUGGCGGCGUGCCUAAUACAUGCAAGUCGAACGCAGUGGGGACGGGUGAGUAACACGUGGGUAACCUCCCAUCAGAGGGGAGAACCGUUGGAAACAGGUGCUAAACCGAUACUGCAGUAUGAACCCGCGGGGCAUUAGCUAGGGGGUGGGGUAACGGCUCACCAAGGCCACGAUGCAUACCCGACCUGAGAGGAUGAUCAGCCACACUGGGACUGAGACACGGCCCAGACUCCUACGGGAGGCAGCAGUAGGGAAUCUUCGGCAAUGGGCGAAAGUCUGACCGAGCCACGCCGCGUGAGUGAAGAAGGUUUUCGGGUCGUAAAGCUCUGUUGUUAGAGAGGCGGUAUCUAACCAGAAAGCACCGGCUAACUACGUGCCAGCAGCCGCGGUAAUAC
rnacentral:rRNA from 1 species